rnacentral:lncRNA from 1 species
GCCGUAUUUUUCUGUCUCUCUGGACGUUAUUUCCGUUAUUUCCGUUAUUUCCGUUUUUAUUUCCAUUAUUUUUUCUGUUAUUUCCGUUAUUAUUUCCGUUAUUUCCGUUUUUUCUUUUAUUUCCGUUGUUUUUCUUCACCUGUCACAUAAGUUUUUGCCGUAUUUUUCUGUCUCUCUGGACGUUCUUUCCUUUCUUUCCGUUCUUUCCGUUGUUGUUCUUGACAUGUCACCUAAUUUUCUGCCGUAUUUUUUUGUCUUUCGGAGGUUAUUUCCAUUAUUUCCGUUAUUUCCGUUAUUUCCGUGGUUGUUCUUGACCUGUCAGUUAAUUUUCUGCCGUACGUUCCUGUCUCUGGCGAGGUUUUUUCCUUUAUUUCCGUUAUUUCCAUUAUUUCCGUUAUUUCCGUUAUUUCCAUUGUUGUUCUUGGCCUGUCACUUAAUAUUCUG